rnacentral:rRNA from 1 species
AUGAACGCUAGCGACAGGCCUAACACAUGCAAGUCAGGGGCAGCACAAGGAGCAAUCUGAGGUGGCGACCGGCGCACGGGUGAGUAACACGUAUGCAACCUGCCUGUAAGCGGGGAAUAACCCGUUGAAAGACGGACUAAUACCGCAUAAUACUAAAUUACUGCAUGGUAAUUUAUUUAAGCAUUUAUGGCUUACAGAUGGGCAUGCGCAUGAUUAGCUAGUUGGAGAGGUAACGGCUCCCCAAGGCAACGAUCAUUAGGGGUUCUGAGAGGAAGGUCCCCCACACUGGUACUGAGACACGGACCAGACUCCUACGGGAGGCAGCAGUGAGGAAUAUUGGUCAAUGGACGAGAGUCUGAACCAGCCAAGUCGCGUGCAGGAAGAAUGUCCUAAUGGAUUGUAAACUGCUUUUGCAGGGGAAUAAAGUGCAUCACGUGUGAUGUUUUGUAUGUACUCUGCGAAUAAGGAUCGGCUAACUCCGUGCCAGCAGCAGC